rnacentral:lncRNA from 1 species
GCAGAGAGGAAGGAAGUAGGGCUUCCUGCAGCUGCCUACCCAGAGGAAAAAGGAAUUAGAUAAAGUGAAAGGUAUUUCUCAGAGAUGCACCCAAAGCUGCUUCUGUUUCCUUGUAUCCUUUUUAAGGGUCCAGUUUUUAGGACAAUAUGAUCCAAAGUGACUAAAGGGAAUUAACUACGUCCUUGAGGAAUUCCUACUAGGUCAGGGCCAGAAGCGCUCGUCUAGCCAUAUGUGGAAGAUCCUCAAGUUGUGAGAUCAGUGGUUGGCAUGCUUCUCCACUUCUGGAAGCCGGGCAUGGCUAACCAACCUGGGAUUUCUACCAGGGGACUUUGACAGACGAAACAGUCCAGGUGAGCUCUGGAGCUUCAGAAGAAACUGGCCUUGGUUUGUUAGAUUAAAGUUUUGGUUGCACAUCCUAUUUGAUCAACCCCUCAAUCUGUUGACUAUGUUGACUGUUUUACAAAUAAUACUCCAGUGUGUGUAGAAGAGACCUGAGGAUGUGAGGUACACUUGGAUACCUGUAUAUAUCUCAAAAAUUCAGCAAGAAGAUGCGGUCUGUAUCCUGUACAACUGCGCAUAUGGGCUGUUCAGGGGUACAGUCAGGACAAGGCUUCCGACUUGCUGGACUCCAA